GGCGCCAAAGCCAGGGAACAAGCUAAGAACAGGGGCUGUAUCCCUGGCGGUAAUAGCUUGCUAACGACUGGCCUUAGUCGGGUUGAUUCGAGGAUGAAGUCGUUAUCCGCCCUUUUUAAAGUUAUGUUGGCUGCCAACCGCCUUCACAAACACCAACAUGCAUACGCCCAAACAACCAGUUUUGCUAAGUAUUUAUAGAUUUGUCUACUCCGAACUGCGUGCAAUCUUGAAGCUGAAAAAGCACCAAAAUGCUAACCUGCCUACCCCAGAGCGAGCCCCUGGAUUUCAAAGCCACAGACUGUCCGUCAGCACUAAAAGUGGCGAUGUGAUGUGACUGGCACAACAUACCAGGAUUUGCAUCCAUGAAUUAGUGGGUUGCGCGGGAACGAAACACUUUCCUUCUAUCAAGCUGCCCAAAAAUCUCCAUGGAAUAUGAGAGGGCUAUCCAUUGGUCAAUAUUUUCGGGGCUUGACACGGUAUUUCAUGCCAAACACCCUCAGCUUGCGUCCGUGGCUGCCCUAAUUUUCGAGAAUCCUAUUAAUACGUUUGAGAUAUCCCCC
rnacentral:sRNA from 2 species